UCUUAGAGGUAACAAACCCUCCUGUGGGGUUGCCUUUCAUAAGCAAACUAACCAAUUCAGAGCCCUCUCCCCACCCCCUGCUUAAUGAGCUCUUGCACUGGGGGACACUAUUCCCCUGUCCUAAUCACCUCAGGCACAGGCAGGGCAUCGAGUUAUGCAAGUGAGCCAAUCUUAAACCUGCUUAGCCUGCUCACCCUGUCUCACCCACGCUUUCCUGCAAACACCACAAAAAGGCUCUUUCAGGUGGCAGUUCGCCUCACUCUCUGUGCCUACAACCGACCUCAGAGCCCCUCCUGUGGCCUGCAUGGGUGGCUGACCUGCCCCCCUCCUCCUGGAAACUCUAAUAAACUAUCAUUUCAAUGGCAGUUGUCUCCUGAUCUGUUGGCCUCACCAUACCUAAAUAAAAAAUAAAAUCUACAUUUUAAAAGGGGCUCAUGGGCAGUGUCAGCUUCCUUCCAAGCUGGCAAAUUUGAGCAGUCUUGUCUCAGUGUUUUCAGGGGUCCGUGGUAUCUAACUGGCUCAACGCUUGGACAAAGACAUCUUAUGGAUACAAAAGGAAUCAACCCCCUCGCGAUGCUUUCAGCAUCUCAUAUGCUUAUCCUGGGAGGAUUUGGGUCUCAGGAAGGACACAUGGUUGUCUGUCUGCUGCCAGCCCAGACGACAAGGACUGCCCAGUGGUCCCACGGCAUCAGAAGCUAAAUAAAAUGGUUAUUUUAAACCACUAAACUAGGAGAACAUAGAGUUGUUGCACAACAAACAAGAGCUUCUGAAACCGCUUGAUGUCCUAAGGUUAGCAUUCCCUCAAUCUGGACUUGGAACCCCUUCCUGUGGGAGGACUAGAUGAACAUGGAACUGAGCCUGGCAGACACUGCAAAUGAGGCCCCUGCCAGCCAGGGGAAGCAUUGAUAGGCACACUGAGGGUAUGCUGAAGAAGGCAGUGAGGUCCAGCUCCAGGAAGCUGCAGCAACAUUAGGCCACUGCAGCGGACCUCAUUUUCAGAAGGAUUUUAAGCCAAAGCCCAAGGUUUAUUAUAAAGGACUUACAAAGGACAAAGACGAAGAGACACAUAGGGCAAGGUACCAGGGAAGGGGCACAGAGCUUCCAUGCCCUCCCUGGGCGCAUCACUCUACAGGAACCUCCCUGUGUUCAGCUAUCCAGAAGCUCUCCAAACUCCAUCCUCUUGGGCUUUAAUGGAAGCUUCGCAAGCCCUCAAGAUACAUGAAGCUGUGGGCCCUCAGAAACAUCUGGCUCAGCAGAAAUGACUGCAGGGUCUGCCUCUGAAGCCCAGCGUUUCUACUCCAUUUGGGAUAUUCCACACAGGAAGAGAAUUGGAAAUGCUGGAGAAGCUCUGGAAGCCCACAGAGAACAGAUGCAUAAACACCAUUUACCAGACACAGCUCAGCAAACCCUCUCUCUCUUCCUUCCAGCAGCUUGGUUGUCCUCAAGGAGUUCCUAAAUUUCAUACUUCUGAGGGUUAUAUGGGAUGGUGAGGGGUGGAGGAGAGUAGCACGGAUUGAAAAAUACAUUAAUGUUGGCUGGGCACAGUGGCUCACACCUGUAAUCCCAGCGCUUUGGGAGGCCGAGGCUGGUAGAUCACCUGA
rnacentral:lncRNA from 1 species